rnacentral:lncRNA from 1 species
CCGAAAUGAAAAUAAUAAUCGAACUUUUUAUUCUUUUUUAAUAUGACAACUUUGGAUCCUUAGCAGACGACAGUAGAAACCAGAAACAUUUUAACUUUUUUUCAAAAGUUCCAACAAUUUUCAUGCAUGGUCUCAUGCACGUGCCUUACUUAGAUUGUUUUACCUUCACCUCUCAGGGUAUGGAGAGGUGGGCUCUCGAGACAUGGGCUCUCCAUGCCCAUGUCAUGAGUGAUGACACAGAAACAACUUCAUUGGUUGAUUCCAGCUGUUUCACUUCUCUGUUCCAGCUGCUUGAGAAAAUGAGGAUGCUCAGAUGGAAUGUAACAUUCUGUGCAGCGUUCUUUUAAUGUAAAGAUGGGUUUGCAGUGCUGUCUUUCAGUCCGUCAGGCGUAGCAAGGCCACCUCCCUUCAGACCAUCCUCAAUUAACAUUUGUUGACUGCUGCAUCAACACAGCUACUUAAUUAAAGGUUUGUGAAGAUCAGCUUCAUCUAAAAGUGAGAACUCUAAUUCUAUCGCAUCCCUAACCCUAAGUUGAGCUCCUGGUCCUGGUCUUCUAGCGUUUUCGCCAUGGCUCCUUAUUAAACUACGUGGUGCCAGUUGCUUAAAGGAGUCGUUUGCUUACAUUUCAAUCGCCCAAGAUGUCUGCCCAACAUUUACAGCUCAUCCAGCUUCUUACAAGCAGACUACUAUACACAUACUAAUCCUACACUUAACGCCCUGUACUAACUACUACACAUAUAACAAUUUUCUAAAUGGCUUUGGCAGUUUGGGGACUGUCUGAACAACUGACUGCGGCUUGGGCGGUAAAAAAAGGCUAAAUUUCUGAACAACGUUUCGCAAAUGUGAAAUAUUUUCUUAGAGGUAAUGACUUUUUCUUUUAAUUCUUCGUUUUUUGAUGGUCGUUCACAUGCAGAGUUCUGACGUAGAUUUUAUCGGCCGUAGCUAUUAACGUAAUCUUGUGAAUUUUCUCGAACUAACCAACUAUCAUAAUUUAUUUUUAAAUAUUUUUAAAGAAUCAGUCUUAUGAGUUAAUGAUUUUCAUACAUUCCUGUCGUAGCAUUUAGAACUUUUCACUUAUCGGACUGCCCUCUGCAAUUCUGAAUGUGUCGUAGAUUCGAAUAAGCUCUCAAU